UACGGGGGGAGCAAGCGUUGUUCGGAUUUACUGGGCGUAAAGGGCGCGUAGGCGGCCACCGCAAGUCGAUCGUGAAAUCUCCGGGCUUAACCCGGAAAGGUCAACCGAUACUGCGGGGCUAGAGUGCAGAAGGGGCAACUGGAAUUCUCGGUGUAGCGGUGAAAUGCGUAGAUAUCGAGAGGAACACCUGCGGCGAAGGCGGGUUGCUGGGCUGACACUGACGCUGAAGUGCGAAAGCUAGGGGAGCGAACGGG
rnacentral:rRNA from 1 species